UACGUGAGGGGCUAGCGUUGUCCGGAAUCAUUGGCGUAAAGCGCGAGCGUAGGCGGCCCGGGUAAGUUCCGCUGUGAAAAGUACAAAGGCUCCAAACCGUUUGAAUGUCAGUGGAUACUGCCGGGCUAGAGUCCGGAAGAGGGCGAGGUGGAACUCCUGGUGUAGCGGUGGAAUGACGCAGAUAUCAGGAAGAACACCGACGGCGGAAGGCAGCUCGCUGGGACGGUACUGACGCUGAGGCGCGAAAGCGU
rnacentral:rRNA from 1 species